rnacentral:rRNA from 1 species
UACGUAGGGGGCAAGCGUUAUCCGGAUUUACUGGGUGUAAAGGGAGCGUAGACGGCAUGGCAAGUCUGAUGUGAAAGGUCGGGGCCCAACCCCGGGACUGCAUUGGAAACUGUCAGGCUGGAGUACAGGAGAGGUAAGCGGAAUUCCUAGUGUAGCGGUGAAAUGCGUAGAUAUUAGGAGGAACACCAGUGGCGAAGGCGGCUUACUGGACUGUAACUGACGUUGAGGCUCGAAAGCGUG